CCCAAGUCCCACCACUCCCCGCAAUCUUAGACUCCAUAUAUAAAUAAACCCUAGGUAUAAUCUAUAUAUACAAUACAGGGGCGGCCCAUUACACGUAACAACAAAUUUAACAAAGCAGUUGCCUGAAGUUUGCGACGAAAAUACUCCGUUUUUCAUAAUCGGAUUCCAGUAAUAUCUGCACGCCGAUCGGCACUCCGAAGAAACUUUUUACUUUCACCAGGUGUACAUUGAAGCUUUUGUGAGAUGAUGGCUAAUCUAAUGACAUCAGCAUUAGUAUCAUCCUUACCUCAACAAAAUGUUCACACAUCAGACGGUCCAGUUGCUAUACUAUGGGACAUGGAGAAUUGUCGUAUUCCGAGCGACGUAUGCCCCGAAGAUGUGGCUGGUAACAUCAGAAUGGCUUUACGGAUGCAUCCUGUAAUCAAUGGGGCCGUUAAUAUGUUUUCUGCGUAUGGAGAUUUUAACGGCUUUUCUAGGCGUUUAAGAGAAGGAUGCCAAAGGACAGGUGUGAAGCUUGUAGACGUACCAAAUGGACGAAAAGACGCUGCUGAUAAAGCGAUACUAGUGGAUAUGUUUCUGUUUGCACUUGAUAAUCCUCCACCGUGUUCCAUCAUGUUGAUUUCGGGUGAUGUUGACUUUUCUCCGGCGCUUCAUGUUCUUGGUCAACGGGGGUACACUGUGAUUCUUGUGAUUCCAUCUAGGGUUGGUGUUUCGUCUGCUUUGAGUAAUGCUGGUAGUUACGUUUGGGACUGGGCUAGCGUGGUUCGUGGUGAAGGCUUUUUGCCAUCGUUAAAAUCUCAAAUAAGUGAAAACGCAGAUCCUAUAAACGAAGAGGAAGCUAUUGUGUAUAAAGGGAUCUCAAUGACAUCUCGUCCUUCAACCGAAAACAAUGAUAUGAAGUGGGUACAGCCUGGAGACUUGGCUCACAAGAUUACUAAUCAGGAAGUUGAACUUGGUACACUACCAGCGUGUGGUGCUGUGAUUGCUCCUGUUACCGACAACAAACGCAAGUGGAAUGACUCAGACAAGGCCUCUAACUUCAGCCAACAACAGAAGAGGGCCAACAACAACAAUAACAACCGCAACUUCAACCAGUCUUCUACUAAUCAGAACCAAGGCUCUACUCAGAAUCAGGGCUCGUACCUUGGCAAACAACCGAAGUGUAACAAAUGUAACUACCAUCACCAUGGGCAGUGCACUAAAACAUGUCAGAGAUGUAAGAAGGUGGGCCAUAUGGCGAAAGAUUGCAGAGCUCCGUUCCCAAAGCAGCAACAACAACAACAACAACAGAGGCAACAACAACAACAGCAUAAGGGUAACCGAAAGGGUUGUUUUCAGUGUGGAAGUGAGGAUCACCUCAAAAGGGAUUGCCCGCAGCAAAACCAAAACGCCAACAAUAGUGGAAACGACAACAACACCGGGAACCACAAUAACAAUAACAACAAUAAUAACAACGGUGGAAAUGGUGCUCACGGGAGAGCAUUUACGAUUGGCGCGGGUGACCGAAUGGGUUGUUUUAAGUGUGGAAGUGAGGAUCACUUCAAAAGGGAUUGCCCGCAGCAAAACCAAAACGCCAACAAUAGUGGAAACGACAACACCACCGGGAACGACAAUAACAAUAACAAUAAUAACAACGGUGGAAAUGGUGCUCACGGGAGAGCAUUUACGAUUGGCGCGGGUGACGCCAUGAAUGAUAACAACGCAGUGACUGGUUGCGUGUAACAGACCUAACACUUUAUUAACGCGUAGAAGCACGUUAACACAUACCGAGCAAACUAAGGUACAUCAUUGCAUGGGAACUUGCAGUCUGGGAAGCUGGAAGUGCCAUGGGGCGCGCCAGCUGAUGAGAACUUUUAAUACUAUGCAUGUUAAAACAAAAUUUGGAUUUGAUUGUUUUGAAAACAAAUACCUUGCUUCCGCUGAAUACAUUCUUUUGUUUGUAACGUUUAAUUUGAAAUGCACUAUUCAUGUUGGACAUGAUGCUUGUGUUU